AGAGUUUGAUCCUGGCUCAGGAUGAACGCUGGCGGCGUGCCUAAUACAUGCAAGUCGAACGAAUCUCUUCGGAGAUGAGUGGCGAACGGGUGAGUAAUACAUAGGUAACCUGCCCCUGUGCGGGGGAUAACAGGAGGAAACUCCUGCUAAUACCGCAUAGCCAUGAGCACCGCAUGGAGCUCAUGCCAAAUAUCCUUUCGGGGAUAGCGCAGGGAUGGACCUAUGGCGCAUUAGCUUGUUGGCGGGGCAACGGCCCACCAAGGCAACGAUGCGUAGCCGGCCUGAGAGGGCGGACGGCCACAUUGGGACUGAGACACGGCCCAGACUCCUACGGGAGGCAGCAGUAGGGAAUUUUCGGCAAUGGGGGAAACCCUGACCGAGCAACGCCGCGUGAGCGAAGAAGGCCUUCGGGUCGUAAAGCUCUGUUGUAAAGGAAGAACGUCGGACACAGGAAAUGGUGUGCGAGUGACGGUACUUUACCAGAAAGCCACGGCUAACUACGUGCCAGCAGCCGCGGUAAUACGUAGGUGGCGAGCGUUAUCCGGAAUCAUUGGGCGUAAAGAGGGAGCAGGCGGCCGCAAGGGUCUGUGGUGAAAGACCGAAGCUAAACUUCGGUAAGCCAUGGAAACCGGGCGGCUAGAGUGCGGAAGAGGAUCGUGGAAUUCCAUGUGUAGCGGUGAAAUGCGUAGAUAUAUGGAGGAACACCAGUGGCGAAGGCGACGGUCUGGGCCGCAACUGACGCUCAUUCCCGAAAGCGUGGGGAGCAAAUAGGAUUAGAUACCCUAGUAGUCCACGCCGUAAACGAUG
rnacentral:rRNA from 1 species